UAAUCCAUCCCACCUCACAGGUGUGCCAUAUCAAGAUGCUGAUUAGACACCAUGAUUAGUGCACAGGUGUGCCUUAGACUGCCCACAAUAAAAGGCCACUCUGAAAGGUGCAGCUUUGUUUUAUGGGGGGGUCCCCACUCCUCUUCAAAAGCUGUGUGAAGUUGCUGGAUAUUGGUGGUAACUGGUACACUCUGUCGUAUACGCCGAUCCAGAGCAUCCCAAACAUGCUCAAUGGGUGACAUGUCCGGUGAGACAGAUUUGUGAACAAUAUUUGAGAGAACUGGUGAUAUUGUGUAUGUGGAAAAAGUUUUAGAUCUUUGAGUUCAUCUCAUAAAAAAUGGGAGCAAAAAAAAGUGUUGCGUUUAUAUUUUUGUUGAGUGGAAGUAGGCAAGUUUAACAGACUUUUGUAGCUACUCCUUGUCUUAGUUUGAGGCUAGCAGCUUGAGGCUACAUAUGCUUCUGUUAGCAUAACACUCCAGAAAUCAUUGAACAGUUGGAAGUAAAUUUGUAGAUUUUUACAAGGAAGAAGGGGAGGACGGGAAUGAAAGUUCAUGGAGUAAAAAGAAAACAGCCGCGUGUCUAUCCGUGUAAUUUGAUUCAUUUUUUGAAGUAUCGAGUCAGAGAAGUUUAAUGGAAUCUGCUAAAUUAGAGAAACUUUUUUAUGCUCACUUGAGGCGGUUUUCAAAGAGUUGAUACACCUCAAGGGAGAUGGAAACACUUAAAAAACAUUCUGGUGUAGAAAACAUUUCACUGAUUUAACACAGUACAUUGUGCAACAUGGCCGGCCAGCUGACAGCAAAGAAUGAACACAGCUGUCCCAAUUGAAAUCAAUCCCCAAUGACUUCUCUUCAUGCUUCUCCUGUGGAUGAACAAACCCUUGGUUCUUCUUCUAGGUUUUUGUUUGUUUGUUUUUUAUAGAGGUUUGCAAACAACUGGUUUCGUUUCAGACUUCUUCUCAAAAGUUUGUUUCAAACUCAAUUAUAUAGAAACGCCACUAAUGUCUGUGGUUUUGCUGUCCAAAUUUUGAUCUGAAUGCAGUGCUAUAUUGGUGGAGUCCUCCUUUUCACAAUUCACAACCACGAGCAAGAUCCAAAUAUUUGCUCAGAAACGGCAAUAAUCUGUUUACAUUCCAAAAAAUGACAAUCAGACACACACCUGUAUGGCUAAAGAGGAAGGGUUGAAACUUACCAGGAGAAAUGAUUGUGCUGAGUGACCUUCUGUCAUCGUAGUAGACUUUCAGGGUGGUUGCGUGUGAUGUUAACAGCUCUGUUUGUAGUUAUCACAGCAUCUCCUCGUCCCUCCUGCCUCCUUACCCUGAGCUAGAUCAGCCUUUAUAACCACCAGUCAAAUGUGCAUGAAGUCUCUUAAAAAUGUAUUUGUGAAUGUUUUACUGUUUUCUCUGUUUAUUUAAAGAUAUAUUUGUGCUGUGGUUGCUUAUGAAGUCUCUGCCUAUCAGCUGCAACAGUAUCUGUGGCACGUGGUAAAUGCUAGUCGACAGUCUCAACUGGAAGUGCAGAAAAAUCUCAAUUUGCUCUCAUGUAAAAUAUUUUUGCUUUCAUUGAAAUAGUUUUUUUUUUUUUUGAGUGUUUGUGUGCUAUUUUUAAUGCAGCUUUGUUUUCUUAGUUUUCAUACAUGUUUGUGAAGUUGAGUCCGUUUUCUAAAUACAGUAUAAUCCAAACCUUCUGUACUGUGUUCGUAUACCAUGAAUUAAACUGCAGGCAGGUCUGACAGAG